rnacentral:rRNA from 1 species
GAUGAACGCUAGCGGGAGGCCUAACACAUGCAAGCCGAGCGGUAGAAGAUCUUCGGAUCUUUGAGAGCGGCGUACGGGUGCGGAACACGUGUGCAACCUGCCUUUAUCAGGGGGAUAGCCUUUCGAAAGGAAGAUUAAUACCCCAUAAUAUAAUUGAUGGCAUCAUUAAUUAUUGAAAACUCCGGUGGAUAGAGAUGGGCACGCGCAAGAUUAGAUAGUUGGUAGGGUAACGGCCUACCAAGUCAGUGAUCUUUAGGGGGCCUGAGAGGGUGAUCCCCCACACUGGUACUGAGACACGGACCAGACUCCUACGGGAGGCAGCAGUGAGGAAUAUUGGACAAUGGGUGAGAGCCUGAUCCAGCCAUCCCGCGUGAAGGACGACGGCCCUAUGGGUUGUAAACUUCUUUUGUAUAGGGAUAAACCUUUCCACGUGUGGAAAGCUGAAGGUACUAUACGAAUAAGCACCGGCUAACUCCGUGCCAGCAGCCGCGGUAAUACGGAGGGUGCAAGCGUUAUCCGGAUUUAUUGGGUUUAAAGGGUCCGUAGGCGGAUCUGUAAGUCAGUGGUGAAAUCUCAUAGCUUAACUAUGAAACUGCCAUUGAUACUGCAGGUCUUGAGUAAAGUAGAAGUGGCUGGAAUAAGUAGUGUAGCGGUGAAAUGCAUAGAUAUUACUUAGAACACCAAUUGCGAAGGCAGGUCACUAUGUUUUAACUGACGCUGAUGGACGAAAGCGUGGGGAGCGAACAGGAUUAGAUACCCUGGUAGUCCACGCCGUAAACGAUGCUAACUCGUUUUUGGGUUUUCGGAUUCAGAGACUAAGCGAAAGUGAUAAGUUAGCCACCUGGGGAGUACGUUCGCAAGAAUGAAACUCAAAGGAAUUGACGGGGGCCCGCACAAGCGGUGGAUUAUGUGGUUUAAUUCGAUGAUACGCGAGGAACCUUACCAAGGCUUAAAUGGGAAUUGACAGGUUUAGAAAUAGACUUUUCUUCGGACAAUUUUCAAGGUGCUGCAUGGUUGUCGUCAGCUCGUGCCGUGAGGUGUUAGGUUAAGUCCUGCAACGAGCGCAACCCCUGUCACUAGUUGCCAUCAUUCAGUUGGGGACUCUAGUGAGACUGCCUACGCAAGUAGAGAGGAAGGUGGGGAUGACGUCAAAUCAUCACGGCCCUUACGCCUUGGGCCACACACGUAAUACAAUGGCCGGUACAGAGGGCAGCUACCUAGCGAUAGGAUGCGAAUCUCGAAAGCCGGUCUCAGUUCGGAUUGGAGUCUGCAACUCGACUCUAUGAAGCUGGAAUCGCUAGUAAUCGCGCAUCAGCCAUGGCGCGGUGAAUACGUUCCCGGGCCU